ACGAGUGGCGGACGGGUGAGUAAUGUCCGGGAAACUGCCUGAUGGAGGGGGGAUAACUACUGGAAACGGUAGCUAAUACCGCAUAACGUCGCAAGACCAAAGAAGGGGACCUUCGGGCCUCUUGCCAUCGGAUGUGCCCAGAUGGGAUUAGCUAGUAGGUGGGGUAACGGCUCACCUAGGCGACGAUCCCUAGCUGGUCUGAGAGGAUGACCAGCCACACUGGAACUGAGACACGGUCCAGACUCCUACGGGAGGCAGCAUG
rnacentral:rRNA from 1 species